UACGUAGGGGGCUAGCGUUGUCCGGAAUCAUUGGGCGUAAAGAGCGUGUAGGCGGCUUGGUAGGUCCGCUGUGAAAACUCGAGGCUCAACCUCGAGAUGUCGGCGGAAACCACUUGGCUAGAGUCCGGAAGAGGAGAGUGGAAUUCCUGGUGUAGCGGUGAAAUGCGCAGAUAUCAGGAAGAACACCUAUGGCGAAGGCAGCUCUCUGGGACGGUACUGACGCUGAGACGCGAAAGCGUGGGGAGCGAACAGG
rnacentral:rRNA from 1 species